AUUGAACGCUGGCGGCAGGCUUAACACAUGCAAGUCGAGCGGGGGAGGUUGCUUCGGUAACUGACCUAGCGGCGGACGGGUGAGUAAUACUUAGGAAUCUGCCUAUUAAUGGGGGACAACAUCUCGAAAGGGAUGCUAAUACCGCAUACGCCCUACGGGGGAAAGCAGGGGAUCACUUGUGACCUUGCGUUAAUAGAUGAGCCUAAGUCGGAUUAGCUAGUUGGUGGGGUAAAGGCCUACCAAGGCGACGAUCUGUAGCGGGUCUGAGAGGAUGAUCCGCCACACUGGGACUGAGACACGGCGCAGACUCCUACGGGAGGCAGCAGUGGGGAAUAUUGGACAAUGGGGGGAACCCUGAUCCAGCCAUGCCGCGUGUGUGAAGAAGGCCUUAUGGUUGUAAAGCACUUUAAGCGAGGAGGAGGCUCUUUUGGUUAAUACCCAAGAUGAGUGGACGUUACUCGCAGAAUAAGCACCGGCUAACUCUGUGCCAGCAGCCGCCGCAGUAC
rnacentral:rRNA from 1 species